CAGUCGCCGCGGUAAUACGUAGGGUGCAAGCGUUAAUCGGAAUUACUGGGCGUAAAGCGUGCGCAGGCGGUGUUGUAAGACUGUUGUGAAAUCCCCGGGCUCAACCUAGGAACUGCAUUGGUGACUGCAACGCUGGAGUGCGGCAGAGGGGGAUGGAAUUCCGCGUGUAGCAGUGAAAUGCGUAGAUAUGCGGAGGAACACCGAUGGCGAAGGCAAUCCCCUGGGCCUGCACUGACGCUCAUGCACGAAAGCGUGGGGAGCAAACAGGAUUAGAUACCCCCGUAGUCCCUGUCUCUUAUAC
rnacentral:rRNA from 1 species